UGCCCGCGUGCCUGUAAGUCGCUUUGGAUGAGAGUGUCUGCUAAAUGGCAUUUG
rfam:Salmo salar isolate Sally breed double haploid chromosome ssa19, whole genome shotgun sequence.